AACCCGGCUCCGUGAAGCUGGAUUCGCUAGUAAUCGCGCAUCAGCCAUGGCGCGGUGAAUACGUUCCCGGGCCUUGUACACACCGCCCGUCAAGCCAUGGGAGCCGGGGGCGCCUGAAGUGCGGUACCGCGAGGGCCGCCCAAGGGCGAGACCGGUGACUGGGGCUAAGUCGUAACAAGGUAAC
rnacentral:rRNA from 1 species